rnacentral:snRNA from 1 species
AUGGCUUCUCAGCCUUUUGGCUAAGAGCAAGUGUA